rnacentral:rRNA from 1 species
UCAACGGAGAGUUUGAUCCUGGCUCAGGACGAACGCUGGCGGCGUGCUUAACACAUGCAAGUCGAACGGUGAAGCUCCAGCUUGCUGGAGUGGAUCAGUGGCGAACGGGUGAGUAACACGUGAGCAACCUGCCCCAGACUCUGGAAUAAGCGCUGGAAACGGCGUCUAAUACUGGAUACGAGACCAACCUGCAUGGGUAUGGUUUGGAAAGUUUUUCGGUUUGGGAUGGGCUCGCGGCCUAUCAGCUUGUUGGUGAGGUAAUGGCUCACCAAGGCGACGACGGGUAGCCGGCCUGAGAGGGCGACCGGCCACACUGGGACUGAGACACGGCCCAGACUCCUACGGGAGGCAGCAGUGGGGAAUAUUGCACAAUGGGCGAAAGCCUGAUGCAGCGACGCCGCGUGAGGGAUGACGGCCUUCGGGUUGUAAACCUCUUUCAGCAGGGAAGAAGCGAAAGUGACGGUACCUGCAGAAGAAGCACCGGCUAACUACGUGCCAGCAGCCGCGGUAAUACGUAGGGUGCGAGCGUUGUCCGGAAUUAUUGGGCGUAAAGAGCUUGUAGGCGGUUUGUCGCGUCUGCUGUGAAAAUCCGGGGCUCAACCCCGGACUUGCAGUGGGUACGGGCAGACUAGAGUAUGGUAGGGGAGACUGGAAUUCCUGGUGUAGCGGUGAAAUGCGCAGAUAUCAGGAGGAACACCGAUGGCGAAGGCAGGUCUCUGGGCCAUUACUGACGCUGAGAAGCGAAAGCAUGGGGAGCGAACAGGAUUAGAUACCCUGGUAGUCCAUGCCGUAAA